GCCGGGAUGGUGGAAUCGGUAGACACCGCGGACUUAAAAUCCGCCGGGCCUAAAGCCCGUGGGGGUUCGAGUCCCCCUCCCGGCA
rnacentral:tRNA from 1 species